UACGGCGGCCUCCCUGCCUAAUACGAGCCUCCUGGGGCCGAGUCUGGGAGGUCAGUCAUAAUUGGCGGAAGUUUGCAGACCAUUAGCAAGAUGUCGACAUUUUCGAUUCGAACCCCGCAAACUUUCCUCUCGUUCUCUGCUUCGCGCGCUGGAGAGACAGAGAGGACGCCAGAGAAAGACAGACUGAAAGGGAAAGAAAGGGGCGAGAUGGCGAGCCAGACGGAGUUCGCAGAACCACACUAUUCUCUCUGGUGACUUCAGGGAAUUCUCAACGCUGGCGCCAAGCUCUCUUAACCAUGUGCGUCAAAAAUGCGAGGCUGGAGAAGCCUGUCGCCUCAAAAGAUCCUCCCCUAUCUCAGCGUGGUUGGCCCACAAGAGCACUUCAUUUUCACCCUUCCCUUGGUGCCACGUUGGGGUUUCGGGGUUGCUGGGGGUUGCGCGGGUGCACAAGGCAAAAUGCGAGAGAGGCCUGUGCUGGCCUACAGAGACACACACAUCCAAAGCCCUGAGUCUCUUAAACCCCUAAG
rnacentral:lncRNA from 1 species